rnacentral:rRNA from 1 species
AUUGAACGCUGGCGGCAGGCCUAACACAUGCAAGUCGAACGGCAGCAGGGGGGCUGGCCCCGGGUGGCGAGGGGCGAACGGGUGAGUAAUACAGCGGAAUACGUCCUGGAGGGGGGGAAAGCCCGGCGAAAGGCGGAUUAAUACCGCAUACGAUGUGCGGGAGAAAGGGGGGGAUCCGCGGGCCACGCGCUCUGGGGAGGGCCGAUGGCUGAUUAGCUAGUUGGUGGGGUAAAGGCCUACCAAGGCGACGAUCAGUAGCUGGUCUGAGAGGAUGAACAGCCACACUGGAACUGAGACACGGUCCAGACUCCUACGGGAGGCAGCAGUGGGGAAUAUUGGACAAUGGGCGAAAGCCUGAUCCAGCCAUGCCGCGUGUGUGAAGAAGGCCUUCGGGUUGUAAAGCACUUUUGUCUGGGAAGAAGUGCUUGAAGCUAAUACCGUCCUGGGUUGACGUUACCGGAAGAAUAAGCACCGGCUAACUACGUG